rnacentral:rRNA from 1 species
GUACAACUUUCAACAACGGAUCUCUAGGCUCUCGCAUCGAUGAAGAACGCAGCGAAAUGCGAUAAGUAAUGUGAAUUGCAGAAUUCAGUGAAUCAUCGAAUCUUUGAACGCACCUUGCGCCCCUUGGUAUUCCGAGGGGCAUGCCUGUUUGAGU